CUAUGUAUCUCAAACUCAAAAGUGAGUAAAAACCUGAGAUCAUAAUCAUUUCAAUAACAAAUACCUAUUGAAUACCUAGGAGAUGUGGGUAAAACAAAGUCUUGUGAACCUAUAUUCUGAGGGAAGACAAACUAUGAAAAUAGAAGUGGAUAUUUAAUGUAAUUCUAAGUAAAUACUAGGAUGAAAACAAGCAGAACGAGCAUAUAAUUAGCUCCUGGGGGCAGAAGAAGGCCUAUUUACGACAGAAUGAUCAGAGAAGGCCUCACUCAGACUAUUUUGAACAGAGACCAGACAGUGCCUCUAACAAAAGAGUCUUCUAUAGAUCCUGAGGGGGACUUAGGGAGCAUGUCUGAGGAACUACAGAGAGGCCAGGUUGGUGAGAAGAGACUAUGUGAAUAGAAGGCUGACAGAAAUGAGGUCACAAAGGAAGCUAGUAGAUAGAUCACAUAAGGCCGUGUAGGACCUGGUAAGAAACAGGAGUUUUAUUCUAUGCGUAAUGAGUAGGAGAGGUUUAAAGCAGAAGAGUACAUAAUCUGACUUUUGGUUUAAAAGUCUCAACCUUGGUGGAUAUGGAUUUAACAAGCUACCGGGGUCAGGAAAGAGGACAGAAUUCUGAGUUAAGAAGUAACUAUAGUAAUCUAGGAAAGAGAUCAGGAAUAUUUAAACUAAGGAGGAAGUGAAUCCACCAGCAACAGUGCCCGCUGACAGGCAUUAUGGCUUAAUUCUCCCAGGAAACCCUGGCUGAGAACGUCUACGGGAUCAAGUCUAAUCUCCUCAAAAUGAAACAGAAGAUCAUUUACAUGCCAUAGACAUCUCCACCUUAUUUCUUGAGACUUCUCUUCCCUUCUUCCUAUAUCAAGCUACCUACAAUUUCCUUAAUGCCGAGCUAUUUCCAACUUCUUUGUUUGGAAUUCC